rnacentral:lncRNA from 1 species
ACUGAAAAGCUGCUUCUUAUAAUCCUGUUCACACUACUGACUCGCUCCAUACAAAUCUUAAACAAUCAAUCUCCAUGGGCCGGGUGUCGAGAACUGCACAAUUUCCUUCUCUAUCAACUAUCAAAUAGCUCUAUCAGGCAAGUAUCCAAUUCACUUAUUCUUCUCGCGCUUUUUGUUUUUGUUGGGUUGAUUCAUGCGUUUCUUUCUUUCAACGCUAAUAAUUCAAUUUUAUAUUAGCAUUGUCUCUGAAAUAAUGAAUUUCAAACCAUUUUAGAACUGCUAAAUUGAUUUUUUAUACUAAUAUUGAGUGAGGACUGAGGAUGAAUGUGUAGUACUAUGAUGUCUUAAAUCUAAAGAUUCUUAAGGUUUCUUCACUUAGUUAUACUCUGAUAAAUUCUUGUGUUGGUUUUAUGAAAAUCGAAAAUCUAAAUGUUAAACAAAUUGUUCGAACCAAAACCUUCAAUCCCUGAUUCCUUUUAGGACUUUAUUCGCCAGACUUUGAGAACGUCAUCAAAGCAUCGAUAACUAUUGUAGUAUUAGUUUUAUCGCCUUCUCUUGGGGGUCUCUUGCUUAUACUUAUUGUAUGAGAAAGACUACUGAGGUUGAGAAAAAUAUAUUAUCCAUCAGUGAGGCUAAGGUCCCGUAAAGUUAUUAUUGCAAGUUGCCAAAUAUUAUUGGCUUGAAUUUUAUUUGAACUUGCUCUUUUUUACUUCCUAAAUUAUUGAGUCUGAAUUGAGUCGGUUGACCUAUAAUUUUUCAAAUUCUUACAUUCUGGUUUCAAAAAGAAUACUAGACAGACCGAGUUGUGAUUUUCUGUGAAAAUUCUUUCUCUUUUCUUUUAAUUUUAGUCUUGGCAGAAGUUGUUACUUUUUGCUCUUUAUUGUGGAGGCACUAUAAUAGUUCUGGUCUGAUCCUGAUAUAGGUUGUAUGUUUCAGUUAGGUCUGCUCGUGGUUUAUUUGAUCGAAGUUGUGGUUGUUGUUGCAGUUACAUGGAGGAAUGUGUUAGAGCGCAAAGCACCUGAAAUCACUCUUGCCAAAAUAGCGCAAAAGGAACAUACUAUUCGGAAUAGGACCAUGAGAAAUUUGAGUUGGUGAGUUUUUCAGUUGAAGAUAGAAGCAGAAGAUGAGCGAGAGUUUGUUUUAAGAUUUUCAUUUGUUAUCACGGUGGUUCUUUUGAUGGAUAGAAGAAGCAGUCUGAUCUGAAUACAAUCCAAAGGUAAGUAUCCGUUAACCUUACAUGGUCAUAUCAUGAAUGGAGUGUCAUAUGCUCUAUUGCGUUUCAUGGGGCAACUAUGUUGAGCGGAUGAUAUUUUUUGAGUUUAACAUUAUUUUAGCAGCAUGAUGCUCACAGUUACUUUAUAAAUUGUUCAUAUUAUAAAUGGUUAUGUUCAAGUUGCUGGAUUCUUAUGACAUAUCAAAUGAAUCUGUA